UUGUUUCUGAUUUCCGAAGUGUAUUUCCUAACUUUCACGUUGUCAAAUAGAAUCAUUUCUAGUUUUUCUUUUGUUCAGACUGAUGACGUUUCUGUGAUUAUUAUUGCGCCCAGUUCAACCUAAUUGUGGAAUCAAAUGUGUACUUUGUGCGAAAGCGUAUGAAUGUGUGCGUCAUUUCUAAUGUGUCCAGGCGUCACUAGGGUUAAUUUACUCAUGCAUGUUGAUCAAUGAGUUAAACUCUGCAAAGUCGUUGGUUUUCCUGGCUGAUUCAGGCAACCCAUUCCAUGCUCUAAUAGCACUAGGAAAGAAGCAUAUGGAACAAGGAAGGUGACUUUAUUUUUUUGUGUUAUGUAUUAUAAUUAUUUUAUUAGGUUUUGUUUUUUGUAUUUGAAGAUUAUAGUUUAGUAUUUUAUGUAUAAUGUUACUUUUUUUUUAAUCUGCUAUCCUGAAGGGUCUUUAAAUGUUAUGAUUGUACUAAAGGGGCUACUCUAAUCAAAAGUGAGUAUUCAUUUGAUAUAAAUCUCACAUCUCUACUUUGUAUUUGUUCCAGCUUCUUAAUGUUUUCUCGAGUUGAGAAGUCGCAAACAGAGGAUGCAUAUUGUGAUAUUGGCCUAACCAAGGUUAAUUAAAAUUUUAGUUUUAUAUGUUCUUAUUUGAUUUGUGGAAACUUUUUUUAAUAAACCAUAAUGCUUAUAUAUAUAAAUAAAUAAAUAUUCUCAGACCUUGCAAUCUAUAGGGCAGAUCAUGUUAAAGUCAUCUGUUUCUUUGGUCAACGGUUAAUAAACAGGGUGUCAUGUGGCCAGCACAACAACCAAGUACCUAUUAGAGUUGGGUAGACUCAAAGGCACCCUAAAUUCCAUUCCAUAAUCCCAUUCUUCAGAGAGAUUCAAACCCAGGACACCAGGUUCAGAAGCCAAGCGCUUAACCACUCAGCCACCAAUAUAUAUUUAGGCCUAUACAUUUAAAAAAUAUAAUGAUAUAUAUACAUUAUUUCCUCAUGUGAUUAUUGACUUUAUUUCAUUGGUUUAUUUGAUUGCUUCUUGUUUAUUUUUACAAUACCUCUAUACAAGGCAGAACUUCAUAGAAGGUGGGUGGGUGAAGUGUGAAACCUGGACAUUCCAUUGUUGUUUUUUUAAAUCUAACAUCCAUUAGUUAUUAAGAAAAAAAAAAAGUCACUCUAUAAGUUAGAGGAUGGAGAUAUUGUAUUUUUUUUAAAGUUUUUUUUUUAAUUGUUUUUUUUUUGUUAUUAAUUAAGUUAACAAACAAAUGAAAAAUCACAUAGUGAAAAAAAAAUAAAGAAUACAUUUCUUUAUUAAGAAUUUGUACAAAAUUUGAUUUUUACUUCAUGUCAUGUUCAUAGUAAGUUAUAUCUAUUAGAAGUAAAAUGGAAAAUACAACACUCAACAAUAGUUGAUUGACUCAGACAGAGGCCUAAUAACUUCUGUUGCUUUAGUUAAACAACACAAAACAAUAGUAGAUUGACUCAGAAAGGUAGAGGCCUAAUAACUUCUGUUGUUAUAGUUAUGCAACACAUAAAAACAUGUACACUUUUUGGUCAUUCGUUGUAAGCAUACAAACUUAAAAAGUAUGUAAGUGUAAAAAACAGUAGCCAAGACACAUAUAGUAACUUAGAAACAGUUGUAUAUGUCCUGGUCUUAAGUUUGAUUGUAGGAAGUCAGUGUAAAUUAUGAUGUGUUAGCUCCUGAUGAGUGAUCCAGUAGUUCCCUGUUCAGUUCACUCACUGUUCACAGUUUCAGCAGAACAUAUUUCAAGUAGCUGGUUCACCAUAUCUAUGAUAAAUCAAAUAAAGUCCAUAGAAUGGCAAAGUCAUAUGUAACAACAGGACAAAAGGACAUAAAUUUGGAGGAAGUAAACUUAUAACAAAUCAUGACAAGAUUAUAAUGUAUCAAAUGAGACAAUGGCAGGAACAGAGUUUUCAACCUGAAUUCACCCAGAAUAAAUAGUUCAGAUAGUUCAAGAUAUUUGAUAUAUAUUUAUAUAUAUAUAACUGUUCCACUGAUAAACUGAUAAUGCAUUUUAAACCAUCACAUUGUACAA